GCGGUAAUACGGAGGAUGCGAGCGUUAUCCGGAUUUAUUGGGUUUAAAGGGUGCGUAGGCGGCCUGUUAAGUCAGCGGUGAAAUCUAGGAGCUUAACUCCUAAAUUGCCAUUGAUACUGGCGGGCUUGAGUGUAGAUGAGGUAGGCGGAAUGCGUGGUGUAGCGGUGGAAUGCAUAGAUAUCACGCAGAACUCCGAUUGCGAAGGCAGCUUACUAGGGUACAACUGACGCUGAAGCACGAAAGCGUGGGUAUCAAACAGGAUUAGAUACCCUGGUAGUCCACGCAGUAAACGAUGAUAACUGGGCGUAUGCGAUAUACAGUAUGCUCCUAAGCGAAAGCGUUAAGUUAUCCACCUGGGGAGUACGCCGGCAACGGUGAAACUCAAAGGAAUUGACGGGGGCCCGCACAAGCGGAGGAACAUGUGGUUUAAUUCGAUGAUACGCGAGGAACCUUACCCGGGAUUGAA
rnacentral:rRNA from 1 species